AUACGUAGGUGACAAGCGUUAUCCGGAUUUACUGGGCGUAAAGGGCGUGUUGGCGGUCUUGCAAGUCAGAAGUGAAAUUCCUGAGCUCAACUCGGGCGCUGCUUCUGAAACUGCGGAGCUUGAGUGCAGGAGAGGUUAUCGGAAUUCCCGGUGUAGCGGUGAAAUGCGUAGAGAUCGGGAGGAACACCAGUGGCGAAGGCGGGUAACUGGACUGCAACUGACGCUGAGGCGCGAAAGUGUGGGGAGCAAACAGGAUUAGAUACCCUGGUAGUCCACACUGUAAACGAUGAAUGCUAGGUGUAGGAGGUAUCGACCCCUUCUGUGCCGCAGUAAACACAGUAAGCAUUCCGCCUGGGGAGUACGGUCGCAAGAUUAAAACUCAAAGGAAUUGACGGGG
rnacentral:rRNA from 1 species